ensembl:snoRNA T27C4.7 ncRNA
AACGGGAAAUCGUGUAGAAAUAUGUUUUCACGUCGAAAUUGUCAAAACCCAAAGUGCGGCACGGAAAAAUGGGCGGAGUUGCGAAAAAGGUGCGCGCGGUAAUU